rnacentral:lncRNA from 1 species
AGAUGAGUUAUCAAAGAUUUGGGGCCAAACCAACCUGGACUGAAUCCUGUUUCCAGCUCUUAUGAGAUGUGUAUCAGGGUCCUUGACUCUGAACAUUGGUCUUUGUCGAGUGGCGAUAUCACCUAUCACAGCUGAUGUGGUGGUGUAGGCCCCCUGCCCCACCCUGUGUGGUGCAGACAGGAAGUGAGAACUCCCUUUCCCCCAACCUGCUUCUUCUUCCUUCCAGUGCCGUUGUUAUGAGAAGCAACUUGGAAAGUUCCUCCUAAACCUUGAAGGAAGCAAAGAGCUCAGAAAGCAAACCAAAAGCAGUAUUCUGUGGGGAUGUGUAUAGUUUAAAGUUCUGUUCUGAAAGUAACGUCCUACCUCAAAUGUCUCUUAAGACAUGGGCACCAAAGAGUUCAACAUGGACCAGAGGAACUGGAAUAUUGGUUCUCCUGUUAUAAAAUCAAGGCACUUUUUAUUGUUCCACACUAUGCUUAAUGAAGAACAUGAAUUCCAGGAGUUUUGUCAGAGACUUCCUAGAGAGGGGAUGGAUGUGAAUGCAGGGCCUCCGCAUUAA